GACGAACGCUGGCGGCGUGCUUAACACAUGCAAGUCGAACGGAAAGGCCCUGCUUUUGUGGGUUGCUCGAGUGGCGAACGGGUGAGUAACACGUGAGUAAACUGCCCUUGACUUUGGGAUAAAUUCAGGAAACUGGGGAUAAUACCGGAUAGGAGCUCCUGCUGCACGGUGGGGGAUGGAAAGUUUCGGUGGUUGUGGAUGGAAUCGCGGCUUAUGCGCUUGUUGGUGGGGUUGGGGCUUACAAAGGCUUUGAAGGGUAGCCGGCCUGAGAGGGUGACCGGCCACAUUGGGACUGAGAUACGGCCCAGACGCCUACGGGAGGCAGCAGUGGGGAAUAUUGCACAAUGGGCGGAAGCCUGAUGCAGCAACGCCGCGUGCGGGAUGACGGCCUUCGGGUUGUAAACCGCUUUCGCCUGUGACGAAGCGUGAGUGACGGUAAUGGGUAAAGAAGCACCGGCUAACUACGUG
rnacentral:rRNA from 1 species